UCGUAGGGCUUCGGCCCUGUCGAGAUAGAACCCUUGCCUUUUUGAGUACCUUUUCGUUUCCUCGGCAGGCUCGCCUGCCAAUGGGGACCCCAACAAACACUUUGCAGUACCUGUAAACAGUCUGAACAAACUUUUAAAAAUUA
rnacentral:misc_RNA from 1 species